rnacentral:rRNA from 14 species
UUGUGAACUGCAGGACACAUGAACAUCGACAUUUCGAACGCACAUUGCGGUCCACGGAUACAAUUCCCGGACCACGCCUGGCUGAGGGUCG